GACGAACGCUGGCGGCGUGCCUAAUACAUGCAAGUUGAGCGAUGAAGAUUGGUGCUUGCACCAAUUUGAAGAGCAGCGAACGGGUGAGUAACGCGUGGGGAAUCUGCCUUUGAGCGGGGGACAACAUUUGGAAACGAAUGCUAAUACCGCAUAACAACUUUAAACAUAAGUUUUAAGUUUGAAAGAUGCAAUUGCAUCACUCAAAGAUGAUCCCGCGUUGUAUUAGCUAGUUGGUGAGGUAAAGGCUCACCAAGGCGAUGAUACAUAGCCGACCUGAGAGGGUGAUCGGCCACAUUGGGACUGAGACACGGCCCAAACUCCUACGGGAGGCAGCAGUAGGGAAUCUUCGGCAAUGGACGAAAGGCUGACCGAGCAACGCCGCGUGAGUGAAGAAGGUUGUCGGAUCGUAAAACUCUGUUGGUAGAGAAGAACGUUGGUGAGAGUGGAAAGCUCAGCAAGUGACGGUAACUACACAGAAAGGGACGGCUAACUACGUG
rnacentral:rRNA from 1 species